UACGUAGGGUGCAAGCGUUAAUCGGAAUUACUGGGCGUAAAGCGUGCGCAGGCGGUUGUGCAAGACAGAUGUGAAAUCCCCGGGCUUAACCUGGGAAUUGCAUUUGUGACUGCACGGCUAGAGUGUGUCAGAGGGGGGUAGAAUUCCACGUGUAGCAGUGAAAUGCGUAGAGAUGUGGAGGAAUACCGAUGGCGAAGGCAGCCCCCUGGGCCAAUACUGACGCUCAUGCACGAAAGCGUGGGGAGCAAACAGG
rnacentral:rRNA from 1 species